rfam:Clostridium sp. CAG:571 genomic scaffold, scf9
AGAGUAAAUUGAAUAGUCGCGUAUAGCAAGGUCGAAAGGCAGCGUACGAGGAAAGUCCGGGCUCCACUAGAGCAAUGAUGCUGGAUAACGUCCAGUAAGGGAAACCUUAAGGAAAGUGCAACAGAAAAUAACCGCCAAAUAGUAUUUGGUAAGGGUGAAAAGGUGAGGUAAGAGCUUACCGCCAGUAUGGUGACACACUGGGCAUAUGUAAACCCCAUCUGGAGCAACACCGAGAAAAGAAGGCUAAGACUGCUCGUCAUCUUCUUAAUUUGGUGGCUUGAGACAUAUAGUAAUAUAUGUACUAGAUAAAUGACUAUUCACGACAGAACCCGGCUUAUAGAUUUACUUAUAAU